rnacentral:rRNA from 1 species
AGUGAACGCUGGCGGUAGGCCUAACACAUGCAAGUCGAACGAGUGGAGGACGGGUGAGGAAUACAUCGGAAUCUACUCUGUCGUGGGGGAUAACGUAGGGAAACUUACGCUAAUACCGCCUACGAUUGAAUGAGCCGAUGUCGGAUUAGCUAGUUGGCGGGGUCAAGACCCACCACGGCGACGAUCCGUAGCUGGUCUGAGAGGAUGAUGGCCCACACUGGAAUUGAGACACGGCCCAGACUCCUAAGGUAGGCAGCAGUGGAAGAUAUUGGAGAAGGGGCGCAAGCCUUGCCCAACCAUACCGCGUGGGUGAAGCAGGCCGUCGGGUUGUAAAGCCCUUUUGUUGAGAAAGCUGUACCCAACGCAUACGCACCGGCUAACUUCGUGCCAGCAGCCGCGUUAAUAC